rnacentral:rRNA from 1 species
GGAUUAGAUACCCUGGUAGUCCACGCCGUAAACGAUGAGUACUAGGUGUCUUGGGUAUUGACCCCCGAGGUGCCGUAGCUAACGCGUUAAGUACUCCGCCUGGGAACUACGGCCGCAAGGCUAAAACUCAAAGGAAUUGACGGGGGCCCGCACAAGCGGUGGAGCAUGUGGUUUAAUUCGACGCAACGCGCAGAACCUUACCCGGGCUCGAAAGGCCAGGAAUCCGACAGAGACGUCGGAGUGCCCUUAUGGGAACCUGUGUCCAGGUGCUGCAUGGCUGUCGUCAGCUCGUGCCG